rnacentral:rRNA from 1 species
UUGCGGUUAACGCUCGUAGUUGGAUAUCUGCUAAGGGGUUCCGGUCCUUCCAAGUGGAGAAUACGCGGAACUCUUCUUGGCAUUUGUUCAGGGAAGAUGUUUGCACUUCAUUGUGUGUCAUUUGAUCUGAAUUUUUACUUUGAGGAAAUGAGAGUGUUUCAAGCAGGCUUUCGCCGUGAAUAUGAUAGCAUGGAAUAAUAGCAAGGACCGUGUGUCAGAGCUGUUGGUUUUUGGCACGUGGUAAGUUUUAAUAAGGAUAGUUGGGGGUAUUCGUAUUUAACUGUCAGAGGUGAAAUUCUUGGAUUUUUUAAAGACGAACUAUUGCGAAGGCAUUUACCCAGGAUGUUUUUAUUGAUCAAGAACGAAAGUUAGGGGAUCGAAGACGAUCAGAUACCGUCCUAGUCUUAACCUUAAACUAUGCCGACUGGGGAUUGGACGUUGUCAACUUCUGACACGUUCAGCACCCUGAGAGAAAUCUAAGUCUUUGGGUUCCGGGGGGAGUAUGGUCGCAAGGCUGAAACUUAAAGGAAUUGACGGAAGGGCACCACCAGGAGUGGAGCCUGCGGCUUAAUUUGACUCAACACGGGGAAACUCACCAGGUCCAGACAUAGAUAGGAUUGACAGACUGAUAGCUCUUUCUUAAUUCUAUGGGUGGUGGUGCCAUGCCGUUCUUUAAUUGGUGGGGAUGAUUUUGUCUCUGUUAAAUCCGUUAACGAACGAGACCUUAACCUGCUAAAUAGUUACGGGAAACUUCGGUUCUCAGGCAACUUCUUAGAGGGACUUCAUGUGUUUAACAUGAGGAAGUUUGAGGCAAUAACAGGUCUGUGAUGCCCUUAGAUGUCCUGUGCUGCACGCGCGCUACACUGAUGUGUCCAGUAAGUA